AGAGUUUGAUCCUGGCUCAGAGCGAACGUUAGCGGCGCGCUUAACACAUGCAAGUCGCACGAGAAAGAGCUUCGGCCCCGGUAAAGUGGCGCACGGGUGCGUAACACGUAGGCAAUCUUCCCUUGAGCGGGGGGAUAACGUUUCGAAGAGACGCUAAUACCGCAUAAGACCCCGACCGGUUCGCCGGUUGCGGUCAAAGCUGGCCUCUCCACGGAAGCUAGCACCUAAGGACGAGCCUGCGGCCCAUCAUGCUAGUUGGUAGGGUAAUGGCCUACCAAGGCGAAGACGGGUAGCUGGUCUUAGAGGAUGAUCAGCCACACUGGAACUGAAACACGGUCCAGACUCCUACGGGAGGCAGCAGUGGGGAAUAUUGGACAAUGGGCGAAAGCCUGAUCCAGCGACGCCGCGUGAGUGAUGAAGGCCUUCGGGUUGUAAAGCUCUGUUGAGGGAGAAGAAAACAGUUAGGGCGAAUAGGCCUAGCUCUUGACGGUAUCCCUUUAGAAAGCACCGGCUAACUCUGUGCCAGCAGCCGCGGUAAUACAGAGGGUGCAAACGUUGCUCGGAAUUACUGGGCGUAAAGCGCGUGUAGGCGGACCUGUAAGUUGGACGUGAAAGCCCUGGGCUCAACCCAGGAAUUGCAUUCAAAACUACAGGCCUAGAGUGAUGGAGAGGGUGGCAGAAUUCCUGGUGUAGAGGUGAAAUUCGUAGAUAUCAGGAGGAACACCGGUGGCGAAGGCGGCUACCUGGACAUCAACUGACGCUGAGACGCGAAAGCGUGGGGAGCAAACAGGAUUAGAUACCCUGGUAGUCCACCCCGUAAACGUUGGGAACUAGUUGUGGGGUCCAUUCCACGGAUUCCGUGACGCAGCUAACGCAUUAAGUUCCCCGCCUGGGGAGUACGGCCGCAAGGCUAAAACUCAAACGAAUUGACGG
rnacentral:rRNA from 1 species